GGAAUUAAAAGAAAAGUCGACGCUCACAUGCAAAGCAACCAAUGAAGAGAAGAAGAUGCUCAUUGCAAUUGCAUUUGCAUUUGCACCCCUAAAGAAAACUUCUUCUUUUCUUUUCUUUUUUUCACAAAAUACCUUCCUUCCUACCUACCAACAUCUUCUUGUGAUUUUUUAUUUUUUUUUCAUUUUCUUAAAAAGUUGAUGAAAUUUGCCAAAUAAAUAACACCAUGAGGAAAUAUUGUUAUUUUUAUUUUUACUAAGAAGAUGAGUUAUUAUUGUUAGAAAAAAGAUGCAAAAUGGAAGUGAAACUAUUUUUUUAUAAAUUAUUAUUUAAUUGUCCAAAAAAAGCACAAACAAACAAUAACGACUAUUAAGGGGAGAUCCAAAGUUUGAGUUCAAAAGUUUGGAAUCCCUCACUCUCCUUCUCUUCCCAAUUCUCAAAAAUGAUUCUUUUGCAGUCUCACUCCAGAUUUCUGCUUCAGACCUUGCUCAAUCGAGUUCAAAAUCUCGAUAAGGGUGUUGAAUUGGAUUACCAUUGGAUUGAGUUUGAUGAUGUUCGCUUCCAUAUUCAGGUUUCAGUGAAGAACCCACAUCAUGUUUUGUUGUCGGUAUCACUACCCACCCCACCUCCAGAAACUGCUUUCGUCGGUGGACUUCCAUUGGGAGCUUUAGAAGCCAUUAAAAUUGCAUACAGUGGCUUUGUUCAAGUUCUUGAUCCUCCAAGAGAUGGCUUCAAUCUCACUCUCAAACUCAACCUUUCUAAACUCCCCCCAGAUGAAGAAUACAAGCAUGCUAUUUUGAUCAAAAUUGCAUCUGUGAGAGAAGUGGUACUUGGUGCUCCAUUAAGACUAAUUCUUAAAGGUCUUGGCUCAAGGAUGAGUGCUUCCAAUAUCGACCGCCUUGUUGCACUUGUGCACCGAUCAAAGGAGUCUUUCUUCCUCCUUCCUCAGUGGCAGGCAGAAAAAGUGACUGUUGUGUUUCCAAUGAGAUUUAAGGACUCUGUAGACAUUGUCCUUGCAACUUCCUUCCUGCAGGAAUUUGUUGAAGCAAGACGGGCAGCGGGACUUAAUAACGCUCCCCUUUGUCUGUGGUCACCCACACCUCCUUUAGAAUUGAAGGGGGCUCCUGCUGAAUCAUUAUCUGCAAACGCAGGCUUUAUAACAAUUGUCAUUUUGCCUCGACAUGUAGAAGGCAAAAAACUGGACCGCACAGUUUGGAGUUUAUCAACUUUCCAUGCAUAUGUUAGUUACCAUGUUAAGUGUUCGGAGGGUUUCAUGCAUACACGGAUGCGACGUCGUGUGGAAUCUUUAAUUCAGGUAAAAUAUGGUCCUUAAGUGUUAAAUAUGUACACUUUCUUUUCUGUUUGAUAAUUUUUUUAUCUAUAUUAAGAAAUGGCACUGGGCAAAUAGACACCUAACAUGUUGUUUGUCUUAGAUCAAUGUGUGUGUGCUUUUACUUGUGUUGUUUGAGCUAGUUGACUGUGAUUUGCAGCUCGUUCAUGGGGUCAUCAUUAUUAUUAGCUGAUUGAUAUGUUUGAGGUGACAUCUAGGAACAGCGCUAUAAGAAAGCACAACUUGUUUAAAAGCCCUGUAGUACAUGAUCAAAUUCAUAGGCAACUUAUUUGCAAUCCAUCAUAUAGUGCUUUUUACUCAUAAUUGACCCAUCAUCUUUCUUAAGAGCUUUAAGACUAAAGAAAUAUUUACACUUUUGCUUUUAAAGCUAUUCACUUUCUCAUAAUUUCAUCAAAUACAAUCAAUAAUCUGAAAAAACAAAAUACCAUCAAGCUUCAAAACCAGUGCUGGGAGCUUUAACAGAACAGACAUUUAUGUAAAUUUAAAGGGUUAUUGUAAGGUUAUCCUAUAAGAAAUUAGGAUAGUGAUGUGUAAGCCAUUGGUUGAUGAUGUCAUGCUUUUAAGAAGCAACCCAAAUUUGUCUUUGUUGUUAGUUAGAAUUGUCUCAUUUUCUCUACAUAUUGAUGUUGACCUUAAGUUAUCUGAAUCAUUAUCAUGAAGAAGUAUUGAGGAAUAUCACUUAUAGUUUUAACAUUCAAAGUUAGAUGAAAC